rnacentral:misc_RNA from 1 species
UGUAUGCACAUGCUAUUAAAAAAAGUAACACACAAAGAAAAACCUUACAAAAAUUUAUCCGACUCUAGCCCUCCGUUUCUUGAUCAAGCCCUGGACUUGAAGAAAAGACAUCAUUAGAAUUACUUGAAGGUUGAUUUGAAUCCUCACUUCUCCUAUUACUAUUGAAAGAAAAACUAACCCAAAUUUCUCUUUCCAAUCUUCUCCUCUCUCUACCUUCUUCUUCCUCCUCCCUUUUCUUGCCUAAAUCCACCUCAUCAACAGGCAUCUU